ACAGCCGCCAGCUGUGUCAUACGCUGCCAUCUAGAUCUAGAUGGUUGGUUUCGGGGGAUCAUGUGAGAAAUUGCUUUCAAUUUUAAAAUACAGUGGUCUAUAUUAUUUAUUCAUUCAUAAAUUGACUUAGUUGAGUUUAUUGCUUGUUCAAGUGUGUUUUGUCGUCAAGUAACACUUGUGUCUGGAGUUUACUGGAUUGGAGUUUGGUGAAACACAAUAAGAUCAAACUGUAUACCAGUGACGUGCGGUGACCUAAACACCAGUGAGUUUAGUCGGAGGUGUGUGUCCACGGGUGUGUUGACGCGCAGUGUCUCAGGGAAGUCGACGGCAGCUUUAUGGACGGGGCAAGCUCAGCUGAUAUCCGGUAGUGACUAAACUUGGUUGACUGGGUCCUCUUGCUGCUGGAUACGUCACAACACGACCUACGAACAUUUUUCAGGACUUACCUUAUGUUUGUAAUACAGCCCGUGCGUACUACAGUCAAGGAGACAACAAGAUGGGUGCCACUACUGCCAAGAAGCCCUCAACUUCUCAGUGUCCAUUUUUUGGAAAACAAGAAUAUUGGCUUGAGACAGAGAAACCCGGAGUCCAGAAGAGUAGGAAAUAGAGAAAAAGAGGAAUUCCUGCUGAGCUUUUUGGAAGAUGUGCAUGACUAUAACACCAGCCCACAAAGACUGGAUACUUCGUGAAGUCACAGCAAGUUGGACAUACUUGUUUUGAAAUUUAAUAUAGCGCUCAGCCAGUGUUGGAGGAGUUCCUUCCCCUCAGCUUCAGACUGUGAGGAAAUAUGUAAAAAGGAACCUGGAAGACCAUGAUGAUUGGCACUGCAGCAAUCUUGGUUGGACGGGCAGGAAGGUUUUUACCUGGUGCGGACACAUAGCAAACCGUUUCAGAGUCCCCCUUUGGACAUCCACCGUACUCUGUUGUGCAGCAGGAGAUCGAAAAUUUCCAUGAGCCAACAGCAGGCCUGUCGCUGAUGUUGUUUUGGAGCCAGAUGUAGCUGCUCCAUGGCGCACACUGUAAUGUAAGUCUAUAGGACAUGGAUGUGCUUAUUAAAAGGGGUUUAAAGUUGGAUGAGAUCGACGUUAAUACUGUCUCACAAUGUGCAUGUAUGGUUCAGCUUCCAACAAUGCUUUAUAAUAUUGUGGUGAUAAUGUGGUAAGAUUCUUGGUCCCCUGGUGUCCUAAUUGACAGCUGAUAGGUAGAUGAAAGGGGCGGGCGCCCUCCGUUUUCUCUUCGACCCUCUGUGACGCCUGCUGUCUUUAGAAAAUACUCUGCUCUUAAUCAUCCACGCUUUGCAGGAAAUAAGUAACGGUUGGUUGUGUGUCAUUAUCACUAGAGGGACUUCAUAUCCGAGCAGAUUACAAGAACUAUAUUAAGAUAUGACAGACAUUUAAAUAUGUACAGACAUAUGGUAUACGGUGACAUAAUGACCUCAUUUGGUUGCUUGGAAAGUCAUACUUCUGUAUUUCACCUUCUUUAACCCUGGAUAUUUUUUCUAGUCCUUGUUUAGACUGAAUUUUUCUGUUUGUCCUUGGGCAAAUUUGAUCUUAUCAAAAACCUUUGUGUUGUACUGCAUCUUCCUAUUAAAAAUAAGAGCUACAUUAAAGCCAUAAGCACACGCACAAUCUUUGGAGAUACAUUUUUUCCAGUUAUAGUAUCUCAUAACAAAGAGUAAGGCAUCCCCUCACAUUUUAGCAAUCAUUUGUGUGGCUCUAUUUUUCUCUUCAAGGGAAACCAAUACUGUAGAAAUAAAACAUAUAAACAUUAGUCCUACAGCAUACUUAAAGUAGUAUUAGGAUUAAGACUGUGCUACAAAAAAUUGGUGCUCACACUUAAUAUUGACACCUCGGACCAAAUGGGCCUGAUUUACCAAGAUCCAACUACCACGCACUAAACAGCGUGUGCUAUUUAUAAAAUAACAUGUACUAUUAGUGGUCGUGUUGUGUUGCAAUUUACUAAGAAUAUGUUUACAAUUGUAAAAGUGGUGCAAACCGCCUUAUUUAAAUGAGGAUUUUGCAUGAACUAUAUGUGGCAUCACCACAGAGACACUCUUACUUCCUGCACAUUCAUGUUAUCAUGCUCCUACUUGUGGCAUUUCGCUAGGUUUUUAAACAUGCAUGUACCACUUAUUAUGUGCCAAAGGAUUGCUCAUUGGGGAGAGCCUGCACUUACUCCCGCUUAAGACACACAAAAAUGCAUGAUAAAAUAUUUUGAUAUAGGAAAUAUUUUAACGUGAAAUAAACAAAUGUCAUUAAAAUAUUAAAUGACAGCAAAACGCAUAAAUUCAAUUUGUUUUUAAUACGUCAUUAAAUCCUUUAGCAGCUAUAAAGUUAUAAAAUAAUGUUGCUGAAUAGGCUAUCUGUGUAACAUUUUUUUAUUACUGACCGUCUAAAAUGUUGACACACACAUAGGGCAGAGGAUUAUGUGUCCAUCGUCUGUCUGGGCCGCGCAAGCACCAAUCAUGCAGCCGUGUGUGGAACUGUUAGUUUGCCCAUCCUUCUGACACGUGCAAAAUAAAACAAACAUGGUGUUCACAAAAUGAUGAGUGUUGAUAAAUCACAUUGCGCGUGCUAUAUAAUCUUAUUUAUAUUAUGAUACUUUUAUGAUCUUAUUUAUAUUAUGAUACUUUUCUGACAUGCUGUAAUGAAACAACUGAAAAAAAUGUGAUGCAUUACAUUGUGUCGU